GGGAGAGGACCGACUCUAGGGCGCCGGGACAAGCUCACCUUCUGUUCACGCGUGCGCGGAAAAGCGUCAAAGUCUUGUCCCUAUUCAGAGAGUGGACAAUGGAAUGAAGGGGAAGGGGAUGAAGAUCCCAUAUCUGAGACCUAAUUAUGCAGCUGACUUCAUAGAUGUCUACUGAGAUAAUGGUCUGGGGGUAAGUAGCAUCCUCAUCUCCUGGGGACGGGUUUGAAAUGCAGAGCCCCAGGCUCCACCACAGACCUGCCAAAUCAGAAGCU
rnacentral:lncRNA from 1 species